rfam:Populus trichocarpa scaffold_8_contig_27, whole genome shotgun sequence.
AGAGGAGGCAUCCAAAGGGAUCGCAUUGAUCCCAAGUGUCUGUCCCCCAUAAUUUUGGAUCAUGCUAUCCCUUUGGAUUCCUCCUU